AGGAAGUAAAAGUCGUAACAAGGUUUCCGUAGGUGAACCUGCGGAAGGAUCAUUACAACACUUCUUGGACACCACAUUGUGGGUCCUUGUGUCAAUGUACCUUUUUUCUUUUUUAUACUCUUGUAAAACUAGCAGUCUGACUAGGCCAUGUGCCUUUUUAAUGAAAUAAGUUAAAACUUUCAACAACGGAUCUCUUGGCUCUCGCAUCGAUGAAGAACGCAGCGAAAUGCGAUAAGUAAUGUGAAUUGCAGAAUUCAGUGAAUCAUUGAAUCUUUGAACGCACAUUGCGCCCUUUGGUAUUCCUUAGGGCAUGCCUGUUCGAGCGUCACUACAAACCCUCUCACAUUGUAAUAAUGUGUGGUAUUGGCAGAAGUUGUAGGGACCUUUCCCAGAAUCCACUCUGCUGAAAUAUAUCGUGCAGAUAUCCCAUACUGGUAAAUGACUUUUUUAUGCUAAAGCGUUCAACGCUCUCCAGCACUUGAGUCAGUUGGCCAUUGGUAGAACCGCACGUUAUCAGGACCCCCAUCCUUUGUAUAUAUCUUUGGGUUGACCUCGGAUCAGGUAGGGAUACCCGCUGAACUUAAGCAUAUCA
rnacentral:rRNA from 1 species